rnacentral:rRNA from 1 species
UACGUAGGGUGCAAGCGUUAAUCGGAAUUACUGGGCGUAAAGCGUGUGCAGGCGGCUUGAUAAGUUGGGUGUGAAAUCUCCCGGCUCAACUGGGAGAGGUCGCUCAAGACUGUCAGGCUGGAGGGCAGUAGAGGGUGGUGGAAUUCCCGGUGUAGUGGUGAAAUGCGUAGAUAUCGGAAGGAACACCAGUGGCGAAAAGCGGCUUCCUGGUCCAGCACCGACGUCAGGCACGAAAGCGUGGGGAGCAAACAGG